AUGUAAGUUUUUGCAUGAUAUUUUAUUUAUUUUAAUAGUAAUUAAAUUAGAUGUUUAUAUAUUCUCAGUAAUUAAUUUUAUAAAUCAAGGAAACUUGGAAGUAGUAAUUUUGAUUAGUAUUAGCUAAAUUUGUGCCAGCAGCUGCGGUUAUACAAAUUAUACAAAUGAAAUUUGUUUAGUGUAAGUUAAAUUAAAUAUAAAUAAAAUAAAUAUAUAUUUAUUAGGUGAAAUUUUAAAUAUAUGAAUUUUUAUAUUAAUAUUAUUGAAGCUUUUAAAUUUUAGAUGUAAACUAGGAUUAGAUACCCUAUUAUUUAAAAUGUAAAUUUGAACACUUAGGUAGUAGUAGUUAUGUUCUUGAAACUUAAAAAAUUUGGCGGUAUUUUAGUCUAUUCAGAGGAACCUGUCCUGUAAUUGAUAAUCCACGAUGAACCUUACUUAAUUUUGUUUUCAGUUUAUAUACCGUCGUUAUCAGAAUAUUUUAUGAGAAUAAUAAUUUUCCAUAAUUUUUAUAAAAAUGUAUAUCAGAUCAAGGUGUAGCUUAUAAUUAAGUAGAGAUGGGUUACAAUAAAUUUAUUUAAAUGGAUCUAAAUUUGAAAUGUUUAGUGAAGGUGGAUUUGAUAGUAAAUUAUUAAAGAUUAAAUACUUGAUUGUAGCUCUAAAAUAUGUACACAUCGCCCGUCGCUCUUACUAUUAAGGUAAGAUAAGUCGUAACAUAGUAGAUGUA
rnacentral:rRNA from 1 species